UACAGAGGGCUCAAGCGUUGUUCGGAUGCAUUGGGCGUAAAGGGUGUGUAGGUGGCGCCGUAAGUCGGGGGUGAAAUUUCGGAGCUUAACUCCGAAACUGCAUUCGAUACUGCGGUGCUUGAGGACUGGAGAGGAGACUGGAAUUCAUGGUGUAGCAGUGAAAUGCGUAGAGAUCAUGAGGAAGACCAGUGGCGAAGGCGGGUCUCUGGACAGUUCCUGACACUGAGACACGAAGGCCAGGGGAGCAAACGGG
rnacentral:rRNA from 1 species